rnacentral:lncRNA from 1 species
GCCCAAACCAGUGGACAUCUGAAAACUCCCUCUCUGGUUUCUCCUUGUUCUCUUCCUCCCCUCGCUCCCUAUCCCCACCCCACCCCAUCACCCAGCCUUGCCUGCCGUUGUCUCUAUCCCUCUGUGUCCCCGCAGUCCCUCCUCCCUCCAGACGAUGGCGGCAGAGGACAAGGAGUCCCAGAGGGUGGCGGCCUGCCAGCAGGUGACAGGAGGGCUUUUAAGCUCCGCCCCCCCCCCCCCCCCCCCCCCGCCUUGUACUCUCAAAUGCUUAGGAGACUAAUUGUGCCAGUUCUAAUUCACAUUUUUAUUUGUUUAGGAUUUAGGCUCCAGCUUUUUCCCCAGGAAGAUCUGAAGCAUUAUGCUAAGUGGGAGAAUUCAGGAUUAAAAACGGAACAGAAGCCACUCGGAGAUCUUACUUUGCACCUGAGCUGACCCUCAGGUCCUCAAGUUCGAAUUCAAGGAAGGUGAGGCCCCACGGGGGCCUUGGGGCCAGGAAUGGAGGGGGUGACUGUGUGCUGAGCUGCCCAAGCUACAGCCAGGCUGGGACUUGGAGGCUUAUUUUUGCAUUCUAGCCUCACAGAUCCAGGGAUUUUUCGCCCCAUUGCAUAUGUGGAAACAGAUUCAGCGAGGCCAGCCUGGUGACCACUGCCCCUUAGCUGGGACCUUUCCCUUACCUCCCUCCACCUCCCUCUAGUGACAGGAUUUUCAUUUUCUGGUCCAGCUGCCAUACCCACCCUUGCAGAAAGGUUUUUUUGUCUUUUGUUUUUAUCCCUUGAGAUCACACUCAUCAGACUGUGUCGAAUGACCCAGCACCACAAUGAGUGGUGGUUUCCAGGACGGUUGCGCAGGCUCUAGGCCCUGUGUCACACAGAUGGGCGUGUGCCACAUCGCGUCAAGGGUGGAGGAUAACAAGCCAACUUGGAAUUCCUAUUGUUUUUGCCUCCAGUCUGGCCACCUGGACGUUCCUCCAACAUACUAAACACACUCCUACCCCUGGGCUUUUGCACCUGCUGUCCCUCUGCUGGGAACACAUUUCCUUAAUAACAUCAAAGCUCAUGCCUUUGCUUCCUUUAAGUCUUUGCUCAAAUGAAUCUUCAGGGGGCCUGCUUUGACCUUCUGGGUCACAGUUGUAUCCCCUCCACUCCACAACCCCGGACCCCUUCCCUUGCCCUAUGC